UACGAAGGGGGCUAGCGUUGCUCGGAAUCACUGGGCGUAAAGCGCACGUAGGCGGAUUGUUAAGUCAGAGGUGAAAUCCUGGAGCUCAACUCCAGAACUGCCUUUGAUACUGAGGAUCUUGAGUUCGGGAGAGGUGAGUGGAACUGCGAGUGUAGAGGUGAAAUUCGUAGAUAUUCGCAAGAACACCAGUGGCGAAGGCGGCUCACUGGCCCGAUACUGACGCUGAGGCACGAAAGCGUGGGGAGCAAACAGG
rnacentral:rRNA from 1 species